UCCAGACUCCUACGGGAGGCAGCAGUGGGGAAUAUUGCACAAUGGGGGGAACCCUGAUGCAGCGACGCCGCGUGGGUGAGGAAGUACUUCGGUAUGUAAAGCCCUAUCAGCAGGGAAGAAAAUGACGGUACCUGACUAAGAAGCCCCGGCUAACUACGUGCCAGCAGCCGCGGUAAUACGUAGGGGGCAAGCGUUAUCCGGAUUUACUGGGUGUAAAGGGAGCGUAGACGGCAGCGCAAGUCUGGAGUGAAAGGCCGGGGCCCAACCCCGGAACUGCUCUGGAAACUGUGAAGCUGGAGUGCAGGAGAGGUAAGCGGAAUUCCUGGUGUAGCGGUGAAAUGCGUAGAUAUCAGGAGGAACACCGGCGGCGAAGGCGGCUUACUGGACUGUAACUGACGUUGAGGCUCGAAGGCGUGGGGAGCAAACAGGAUUAGAUACCCUUGUAGC
rnacentral:rRNA from 1 species